ACCUAUUGUUGUUCAUUUCUAAUAUAUAUGCUCACCUAGAUAUUUUGUUAUGUAUAGAUCAAACAGGUGGAAUGAAAUAAAUCCAUUCUUAUAAAUGGUCGUCGUGACAACCAAAGUAAAGUCUUCAGAGAAAGUGGACUUGUUUAAGGUUUAUCAGAUGUUUAAACUAUAACUGGGAAAAAAAAAUGGAAUUUAAACUGGCUUUGAAUGAAAGACUGCACAGAGUGAAAUCAAUAAGAGGUAAAAUUUGAUGUGAGGAGAGGAUAUUGAAAUUGUCAUUCUCCUAGUAAGAAGUGUAAAUCUGUAGCCAGAAGUGAAAAUCAGUUGUUUUUAAUAAACAAAGAAGAUGAUAGUGAAAAAUAACUAGUUUCUCCCUUCUGGAAUGAACUGGAUUUUCAAGAACAAUAGGACUAUGAUGUAGAACCAAAACCUUUUUAGAAUAGUUAUCCUGGGAUAAACAAGUUUGACUGGAAAAAGUAUUUUAUGCUCAUACCUAUUUCCAAAAUGCUGAUUGAUUUCAAGCCUCAUGCCAGUUCUGUUCCCGACCCAUAUGCUGCCUAGAAGAUCUUAAAAAAGUUCUCAAGAAGCAUCUAAAAACUGCACCCAAGUAUUGGCAUAAACACAAAAAUCCAAAUAGAUCUACGAUCAGACAUUUUUCCUCGACUAAUUCCGAUAAAACAGUUAAUGAUUGCAAGAAAAAUAUCCAAUUCAUGUGCGCCAUGAAUGUAAAUGUGAAGGAUCCAACAAACCAUAUAGACCCAAACCAUAGGAGAUAUCCUUAUCACUUGGCUAGGCGAGGGCCAAAACAAUCCUUAGUUUCAUACAAGUUCAGGGAUGCAUCAAGUGAAA
rnacentral:lncRNA from 1 species